rnacentral:misc_RNA from 1 species
GAGGUGCGAAAUGUGGCGCGAUACGCACAAUCUGUGAGACGUCUAAUCUUUGAACGCAGCAUGCGUCUGUCCGUACUGGGCAGACGUGUCUGUUUGGGUGUUUUGGUUCAUUGUUGUGAAUAGUGAUGAAUAUGAGUAUACUUAUAGAUUAAGGUUUAUAAAGUAUUUAUAAUCAUCAAAAUCAGCAACAAAAUUUGUCGCAAUGACGUGUGUGCAGUGCCAGAGGUACUGUCAAUCGCAUAGCCAGCAAUGUAGUGUGAUUUUAAUAAUUAUUAUAAUUAUAAUUGUCUUAUCAUUUUCAUAUGCGUGGCUCUACUCAGACAUAACCCCAAAUCAGAUAGGACUACCCGCUGAACUUAA